rnacentral:lncRNA from 1 species
UGAAUGGAAUUCAUAUGUAUUUUCUUUAAAUAUCAGAAAGUGUUGCUUAAUUUUCUUCAUAAUCAUUAUAAAGCUAACAUUUUAUGACUUGAAGCACUUUUUAGCAUAGAACUGCACCCAGUUUCUACAUAUUCAGAGUUAAGAUAUCAUCUAUAUUCUGCCACAGAGCUCAGAAGCAAGGAGUGCCAUCCUGAUCCCAGCUUCAAGUCCCCAGUCCAGAUGCCUCCAUGCCUUCUCAAUUUCUUCUCCAUGGAAAGGAAUAGAAAUCUUAUAGGUCAACAAGUAUGGGGUGGAUUCCAAUUUGCAAAACCUUUAUAGAUGGCCUCAUUUACUUAUAUACAUGGGGAAAGGUAUCCAAAAGACAGGAAGAAGCAGUAAAAUAUCUACAUGAGUGAUCUACCAUACUGUUGAGAAAUACCACUGAAUGCCAGUGUUACUCCAAUGUUACAUUUCCUUGGCCUCUCUUUUUUUCCUUCCUUUAAUCUAUUCCAGACACGCUCAUUGGCAAAACCCAACCAGAAGCCAGAGCAGAGAGCCUGGGCACUGUGUCCUAUAGAGGUUACAGAUCCAAGUUCACAGACCAAGGUCGAGAGACGUGGAGAAUGGGUCUCAUGGCAAGCAGAAGCAGAGAGAAUUAGCCAGGAUAAAGACGAGAAGAAAAUUAAAAAUCCUUCGGAAGUCCACCCUCCAGAGACAAUUGCUUGUUCAUGUUCACUGAGGAAGAGGAAGUCGAGUAUUGUGUAAUUAAACGGAAUCAGGAGAAUUUACGCUGAUAUUUGGAGACACCUUGCACUGCGGUGCUUGUGUUUGGCUGCAGUUAACUCCAAGGCCUGUGCCAGCCACACACUCAACAAGGGCCAUGCUUCCAGCCAAGUGAGUCCUCUGAAAUGAAAACACAAACAGGCCAUCCUGCCGGGACCGGUAGCCGCCUGCUGCUAGCUGGGGAGGAAGGACUUUCAUUAGUUAUUGUCACUGAGCUGGCACUGUGCCGAUCCCCACAUCUGGAAACAGUUAUGAAGAAAGAAGAGGCAUGAAAGCCUGGGCCUCAUGACCCUGCAGUGUUCCUUUCUGCUGCUUUAUUUAUUAAUUUGCUGGUUUGGAGUGAUCAACUCAGGUCCCCAGUGUAAGUUACAGGAACCGAAGUUAAAAAGGGGCCACGACAGUCACAAUACGCUCCGAAAACAGGCCAAGAUCUUAUUUAUGGAGUCUUGGAUGAACUUUACAUCUAAAUAAACAUGUUUUGAAGUUGCA